rnacentral:rRNA from 1 species
UACGUAGGGUGCGAGCGUUACUCGGAAUUACUGGGCGUAAAGCGUGCGCAGGCGGUUCGUUGUGUCUGAUGUGAAAGCCCCGGGCUCAACCUGGGAAUGGCAUUGGAAACUGGCGAGCUAGAGUGUGGCAGAGGGGGGUGGAAUUCCGCGUGUAGCAGUGAAAUGCGUAGAGAUGCGGAGGAACACCGAUGGCGAAGGCAGCCCCCUGGGCUGACACUGACGCUCAGGCACGAAAGCGUGGGGAGCAAACAGG